ACAUUUCAGGCAUGCUACCUGCAGGAUGUGCCAGUCCAAACAAUAGCAGUUCAAGUGAAUUAGCAUUUGGAGCAUUAGAGGCCUUCUCAUUUGCAGAAGACAUGGCAGCACUCUUGCUACCAUCACCAACAGGAACUGUUUGUUGAGUCUGCACUACUGCUGUUGUUGCAGAAGGCUCAAGCUUCCUGCUGUCUGUUAUGGGAAUAUUGAAAGAUUAAAAGUCGAGCAUGUGUAGAGAAGGUGUUCAAGGAUCCCAAAAGCAAGAGGUUGCUCAAGAAUCAUCACUUUAGUCAUACCUUAAGCCACAUUAAAAGUCAUUGGAUGAGAUAUCUGUCCUUUCUUGCAAUCAAAAUGGAGCCAUUCCAGAAAAACUAAAUAAAUAAGCUAUGCGCAUUUUACAAUUCAAUAAAGAAAAGUGAUCUGUUGCGGUUUGAUUUCUGAAAACUUUUCAAAAGUGAAGAGAAGAAUGGUCUAUCCUAUGUACCUUUCAUGUUCAGCAAGUUGUGUUUCAUGUUUGUCACUAUUUUUUCUAUCUGACAUGGAGCUGUACAUACACUGGCCAAAUUCAAAAUUUGAAGCGAGAAAUCAUUCCAGUUCAA